UACGGGGGGGCAAGCGUUGUUCGGAAUUACUGGGCGUAAAGGGCGCGUAGGCGGUCAGACAAGUCAGCUGUGAAAACCUCGGGCUUAACUCGAGCCUGCAGUUGAAACUGCCUGGCUGGAGUGUGGGAGAGGAGAGUGGAAUUCCCGGUGUAGCGGUGAAAUGCGUAGAUAUCCGCAAGAACACCAGUGGCGAAGGCGGCUCACUGGCCCGGUACUGACGCUGAGGUGCGAAAGCGUGGGGAGCAAACAGG
rnacentral:rRNA from 1 species